rnacentral:rRNA from 1 species
UACGGUAGGGGGCAAGCGUUUGUCCGGAUUUAUUGGGCGUAAAGAGCGUGUAGGCGGCCAAGCAGGUCCGCUGUGAAACUCGAGGCUCAACCUCGAGACGUCGGUGGAAACCGUUUGGCUAGAGUCCGGAAGAGGAGAGUGGAAUUCUCGGAUGUAGCGGUGAAAUGCGUAGAUAUCGAGAGGAACACCUGCGGCGAAGGCGGGUUGCUGGCUGACACUGACGCUGAUGCGCGGAAAGCCAGGGGAGCGAACAGG